ACGCACGCUGGCGGCAUGCCUCACCCAUGCCGGUCGAACGAGACCUUCGGGUCUAGUGGCGCACGGGUGCGUAACGCGUGGGAACCUGCCCUUAGGUUCGGAAUAACUCCCCGAAAGGGGUGCUAAUACCGGAUAAUGUCUUCGGACCAAAGAUUUAUCGCCUUUGGAUGGGCCCGCGUUGGAUUAGCUAGUUGGUAGGGUAAAAGCCUACCAAGGCGACGAUCCAUAGCUGGUCUGAGAGGAUGAUCAGCCACACUGGGACUGAGACACGGCCCAGACUCCUACGGGAGGCAGCAGUGGGGAAUAUUGGACAAUGGGCGAAAGCCUGAUCCAGCAAUGCCGCGUGAGUGAUGAAGGCCUUAGGGUUGUAAAGCUCUUUUACCCGGGAUGAUAAUGACAGUACCGGGAGAAUAAGCUCCGGCUAACUCCGUG
rnacentral:rRNA from 1 species